GACGAACGCUGGCGGCGUGCUUAACACAUGCAAGUCGAACGAUGAACCCGGAGCUUGCUCCGGCGGAUUAGUGGCGAACGGGUGAGUAACACGUGAGUAACCUGCCCUUGACUCUGGGAUAACUGCUAGAAAUGGUAGCUAAUACCGGAUACGACCCUCGGUGGCAUCACCAGGGGGUGGAAAGAAUUUCGGUCAAGGAUGGACUCGCGGCCUAUCAGCUAGUUGGUGAGGUAACGGCUCACCAAGGCGACGACGGGUAGCCGGCCUGAGAGGGUGACCGGCCACACUGGGACUCAGACACGGCCAAGACUCCUACGGGAGGCAGCAGUGGGGAAUAUUGCACAAUGGGCGCAAGACUGAUGCAGCAACGCCGCGUGAGGGAUGACGGCCUUCGGGUUGUAAACCUCUUUUAGUAGGGAAGAAGCGAAAGUGACGGUACCUGCAGAAAAAGCACCGGCUAACUACGUGCCAGCCGCCGCCGUAA
rnacentral:rRNA from 1 species